AGCAGCCGCGGUAAUUCCAGCUCCAAUAGCGUAUAUUAAAGUUGCUGCAGUUAAAAAGCUCGUAGUUGAAUUUUGGGACCAAUAUGUCGGUCGUGCCUCGGUACGUACUGGCAUCGUUGGUUUCUCCCUUCUGACGAACCAUGAUGUCAUUUAUUUGGUGUCGUGGGAAAUCAGGACUGUUACUUUGAAAAAAUUAGAGUGUUUAAAGCAGGCUCACGCUUGAAUACAUUAGCAUGGAAUAAUGAAAUAGGACGUUUGAUUCUAUUUUGUUGGUUUCUAGGAUCGACGUAAUGAUUAAUAGGGAUAGUUGGGGGCAUUAGUAUUCAAUUGUCAGAGGUGAAAUUCUUGGAUUUAUUGAAGACUAACUACUGCGAAAGCAUUUGCCAAGGAUGUUUUCAUUAAUCAAGAACGAAAGUUAGGGGAUCGAAGACGAUCAGAUACCGUCGUAGUCUUAACCAUAAACUAUGCCGACUAGGGAUCGGAUGAUGUUAAUUUUUUAAUGACUCAUUCGGCGCCUUACG
rnacentral:rRNA from 1 species